rnacentral:lncRNA from 1 species
CACAGUUCCUGGCCAGACAGCUGCUUCCCAGUGACAAAUCUACUUUAUAUCAAGAGUGAAAUCAUCCAGAAUAGAGUGAAUUCGGGCUUCAGAGCGGCUGUUUAGGAUUCAGAGCUCUACCAACAUGAGCAAUCUGUUGGCAUGACAGGUCAGAGAAGCCGUGAAGGACAUGGAAGGAAGUAGAUGGAACUGGAAACAGGAGGCCAACCCCAGCAGUCAGUGGUGCUCAGAAAAAAAUAAGACACUGAAAUUUGAGGACUUAAUGGAGUUUGGUGCCUUCAUUUAGCUGAUGUCUAUGAAGCCUGACCAGUCUACUUCUAGUCUAUAAGAUCAUGUGGAAGCUUCAGUGACAAACUUCUACUUUACUAAUGAUUUUAUGAUCCUGUUACCCAUUGCAAUUGCUUAAAUGGUAUUUUAAUUAGCUGCUUUAAAUGACUUUGCUUUUUUACAAAAAGCAGUGUGUGCUUUAGUUUAAAAUAUGGGUCACUGGUGUUUCUUUCUAGAAGAUGACUGUGUUUAGUACCAGGGAAAAUUGCGGAUGUAUUUGGAGAGGUUUUAACUUCUGUAACUCAGGUCGAUAUCUGGAAUGUGAGAGUUUCCAUACUUUUGUGGAUGCAGCAAAUUUAUAUAAAGGGUUAUUAAAUUUGUUCUAGUUUUUAAA